UUGAGAUGAUCAGAUGGCUAAGAUUCAUUGAGAAGUUACACUAACCCAUUUUGAUAGCAUAGCUUUGCCACUUCUCCCGAUCGCGCUUCCUCCACAGCACCACCGACAUCGACGCCGCACCUCCUCCACCAUCGCCUCACCACCAACCGCUAGCAGCGCUAUAUCCACCCUCACCACCGCUGGCCAACGGCCACCAUAUCUCCAUCGUCGGUACACCGAGGAAAGGGGCUUCCCUCCCUCCGGUCAUCGCCAAUCGCCUCAUCCAUCAAGGUAAGGGCCUUCCCUACCUAAUCUUCUUCUCUCCAUCUUCUUCUUCGCCAACCAUCAGCUGCAAUCCAUCUGCUUCAUCCACCUCCACAUCGCCCCAUCAUCCACUAGAGAGGAGUGGGGCUUCCCUUCCUCAACUAGCGGCUUCUCCUCCACUGAUCGGAAACUUUCCAUCAUCCAUUCGAGUAGCUCACAACAUCAAAUCUGAAGCUCCAACAGAUCAUCUCACAUUUGAACUCCAUUAUAGCCAUCCAAAGCAAGAUUGGUACAUUUUGUUUAAUGUUUCAGUUGAUCAUCUAUUUCUUUGAUGUAUUUGAUUACUUGCUUGAGUUCAUGUUUUAAUGCUGGUAUAAAUUCAUUGUUGGUUGAAUUGUAAUAGAUUUAACUCCACAUGUUUCAGAUUUCAUAUACAUAAGGUUUGAUUGGAUGAUGCUCACAAGAUAUUUGAUGGAAUGUUUCUUUAAGAAGUUAUACUUUAGUUUGGAAAUUCCUUUAGUUAGUCGUUUGCAUUGUUUUGUUAGUUUUAAAUCCAUUAUGUUUGUGUCCUUCAUUUGAAUACAAUUAGGUUAGAUUAGCUUAGGUUUUGCUAUAGGUUCUAGGUUUCAUUUCAUAGAUGUUUUCUUGAUGUUACUUUUAAUUCGUAUGCAAUUGUAGUUUAAGUUAGGUUAGGUUUUAUUAUUUGCAUUGUCUUACAUUCAUUAGGAUUAUAUUUCAUUACUUGCAUUGUUUUUCAUUGCUUAUUCUUAGAACCCAAAAUCCAAACCCCCAUUUAACAUCAAAAUACUAAGCAAUAACAUAUGAUCCUAGAUUUGCCAUACAUUUGUCUACAUUCCUUGUGAGAGACAACUUGAGUCAUCUCUAUACUAUACUAGUGUAGAGGGGUUCGAUAUUCAUUUGAAUUGUAACUGUGUAGUAUGACAUACACGGUCUAUCAAUUUUGUCGUCGUUGCCGGGGAGUAUAGUGGGAUAAUUUUAAGAUUAUUUUUUAUUUUUACAUAAUUUUUUUUAAAAAAAAUUUGUUGUUGAGUGCUUAAAUGUUUAGAUAUCCAUGUGUUUGAUCUUAUAUAUUCCUGUGUAUCUUAUUUGCUAGUGUUUCAGUGUAAGAAAGAAAAUUUCUUUAACUAUGGAUUCAUAUUAUCAGUAUUUUAAAGGUAGGAUUGAGAGUCAAUACUAUCAGCCUAAGCAACCUCAUUAUUAUUAGCCUCAGACUCAUUAUUAUCAGCCAAAACCUCAAUACUAUCCUCCUAUGGAGCAGCAGAACAGCUGAGUCAUUUUUAAAUACAUAUAAUUCUAAUUGGAUGGAUAAUUUAUAUUUCAGGUUUGAGGGUGUACAAAGCCAGUUCACUGAAUCAUAUCCAGUAUAUCAGAGCCCAUAGGGAUUUCAAGAUGAUCCUAUGCCUACUUGGUCAUAUUCAAUCCAGCAGAUCAAGCCAAGGAACAUUUCAAGGGUUCAGUGAAGAAGUUCUGUAGGAUCAUAUUGUAAAUGAUGCAUGCGUUGUUGAUGAUGAAAGUGUAGGGACUUGCACAGUGAAAGGAAUGCCCCAAGAAUCACCUCUUUUAGUUGCACCAACACCUGAACUAGAUGUUGAUGAGGAGAGUGUAGGGACUUGCGCUAUAGAGGCAAAGACCCAAGAAUCACUUCCUUCGGUUAUACCAGCACCUGAGCCAAAGCCCUUACCUAACCAGAAGGAGUCCACAGUCAAUAUUUUAGAGAUUCUAGGUACAUUUCAUCACGGCAAGGUUAAUAUCUCUUGUGAUCUUUUAGAAAAUUCUAUGGAGGUUCCUAAGAUUGAUUGUAUUGGAUGUGACUCAUUUCUCUAUCCAUUCUUUGUAGAGUCUAUUGUGGUUCCAUCUCUUUCUUAUCUCACAUGCGUGUGGGAGGUGUGUUCUUUCCCUAGCCUUGCAGGUUUUCAUAGGCUCCCAGAUUGGAUACUUCUACUAAACUGCUUCCAACCGCUAGGAACUAAAGAGAAAAUGGUAGAGGAAGCGACAAUCACUUCAGCUCAGAAUAUUCCACAACCGAGUUGGAUCUACACCUCAACCGACUCCAACUACUAGGAAGGACCAUUCCACUGCCGGCGUGGCUCCUACUUUUGAAUCUCUUACAACGUCGGGAAUAAAGAGGAGUUCGUUCCUUUCUUUUCUUUUCCUUGCUUAUCUUUAUUUUUACACUUAUACGGUUGUUUGCUUUCAUACCUCAUUUUCCUACUCUACAUUUUUUUUUUGUUUUCCAUUUAGGCACUUUGUUUGGUUUUGUUUUGAAAUAAUUCCCUAUGCAUUCCUAUGUAAUACCUUGAGAAUCUUAAAAACUAAUUAAAUUUGAUUGUCGAGUUGUGGCGAUAUUUUUUUCAUGAUUGAAUCUUUUACUUGCAUUUAGUAAUUUGUAUGUGAUGGAUUCUAUUUUGAUUGAUUGAUUGUAAUUGACAAAUUAACUAGUGAGGACCACUUUCAAACCUAUUAUUGAUCUUUUCUUUUGUGUGAUGGUACUCAUGGCAAAUAAUACUCUAGAACUUGCUUUGUUUCUUUUUGAAACCAUAGUAACAUAUGCCUACAUGAAAACGAUGAAAGAUAUUUUUCAUUCUUGUUUCCUCUUAAUUUCCAAUUUCUUUCUCCACAAAACAUUUCCAUCUAGCAUUCAAAUCUUUGAUCACCUUUGCUUGCUUUAUUUCCUUGAGAGUUUGGAUGAUGACUUGACGAGUUAUUUUGCUAAGACGGUCAAAAAUUUAAGUGUGGGGGGAAGAAACGAGUGGUUCGCAUUUGCUAGAAAAUUUUGAGGAUUUUGGAGGUUUUCAUGAGUGCAGAUUUCUGUUUUUUGAGACUACUGUUAUCAGAUGUGGCUGGAAGUAAUCAUUCACAGUAGCUUGCAAUUGGAGAGUGAUGGGGAAAAAAAGAGAAGAAAAUAACCGAGAAAAAAAAACUGGAAUUGUCAAAGAUUGUUGAUGAGUUGGGGAGUGUCAAUGAGAAGUUGGUGUUGAGAAAAAAAAAAUAUUGAGAAGAGUUUAAAAGGAAGGAUGGCUGGGUUUCUGCAGGACCUAAUCCAAUUCGUCAUUUGUUGAAAUUUUCAGAAUGUUAGGGAUUUGAUGUAAGGCAUUGAGUCCGGAAAUUGCUAAAUCUGAAUUCUGGAAUUGAAAUGCAAUAGUUCAUGCCUCAAAACACUUGCAUUGUGCCAAUUUUAAAUAUUGAUUAUGCCCAGCAGUGACUCAAAUUCAAACUCCUACUAUUGCAGUGCUACAUGAGCUUUUUGUCCGAACUAAAUUCUUCAUUGAAAUAAAGUUGGAAUUUCCGUGGAUCUUCAAUUCUGAAACUCUGAAUUGGAUUAUGGAUUACUGAAUUGUAGUUCUUUGAGAAUUGGAUUGGAAUAUGAUCUUAGAAGCUGCAGCUGAAGCAAUGGUGAUUUUUCUCUUUGUGUCCUGUUAGCCUAGUAUCAGUUGAUAUCAUCUUUAAAAACUUAACUCUUCAUGACCUAGCUGUUGGAAUAGAAGUUAGAAA